AACUGAAAGACUUUUGGGUCACAGAAUCAUGGAAAUUAUCGAGAAAAAUCAAGAAAAGCACUGACAUGAAGUCAGAAACUUUUGAUCCUUUGUUUCUUCAUGCGUAAUUGCAUCCUUGGGUGUACCUUGAUUCAGUUCUUUGGUUUCCAAGGGCUCUGAAUGAAUGAAGAAGCGCUCGAAACUACAUUUUGUCUUACAACAUUUAGCGAGCGUAAAGAUUUUUCAAGUUAUCAAACCUUUACGUUGAAGAAAACCAAAGAAAUUUCACACAAUGAAAUGUAACCUCAACGACACGACCACAUGAAGAUAAAUGGCCAGCGGAAUAGUAUGAUUUAACACUAAUCGACUUUUUAGAGAGCUUUAAGGAUUUUUUUCUUGAAAUACAUUAGUAUACUGUGAGAAUCAUACAAGUGGUAUCGAAAUAAUAAACUAUUGUUUGAAA